rnacentral:rRNA from 1 species
AGUAACACGUGAGUAACCUGCCCACAACUUUGGGAUAACGCUAGGAAACUGGUGCUAAUACUGGAUAUGUGCUCCCGCUGCAUGGUGGGGGUUGGAAAGCUCCGGCGGUUGUGGAUGGACUCGCGGCCUAUCAGCUUGUUGGUGGGGUAGUGGCCUACCAAGGCGACGAUCCGUAGCUGGUCUGAGAGGAUGAUCAGCCACACUGGAACUGAGACACGGUCCAG